GGGGCCGCCGCGGCACGUGACCCCGGGGGGCCGACCGCGCGCACCUAGGCUGCUCCCCCCUCUCGGCGCUGGAGAAAGCCUUCGAGGGCGGCUGGCAGAGAUCAUAGGUUAUAACAAAGUGCAAGACGGACAGCAGGAAGCUAGCCGUGUCUGUCAAGCCACUAGGUGUUAGGCUGCCAGCGAGCUUCAAACUAUUCAAGUCUGCACCUCGGAAAUGGCCAUUCUCAGUCAUGGUUCUAAGCAGGCACAGAAAUAAGAAUCAAUACAGUGGCAAGGAGUGUUCCUGAUGCCUGGUUUAACCUGCUGCCAUUUCCGAAGGAGGCCAGCGUUUUUAGAAAUGACCACUGAUUCCAACGACGAGGACGACAACCACAGGGGGCACCUGGGUGGCUCAGCUGGCGAAGCAUCCAACUUUGGCUUAGGUCAUAAUCAUGGUUUAGGAGUUCAA